rnacentral:rRNA from 1 species
AGGACGAACGCUGGCGGCGGGCUUAACACAUGCAAGUCGAACGAAAAGCCGGGUGCUUGCACCUGGUGGAAAGUGGCGCACGGGUGAGUAACGCGUAGGCAAUCUACCCUCAGCAGGGGGACAACCAGUGGAAACGCUGGCUAAUACCCCAUAAUGUCCCGACAGCGCAUGCUUUCGGGAUCAAAGUUCAGGCGGCUGAGGACGAGCCUGCGUUAGAUUAGCUAGUUGGUGGGGUAAAUGCCCACCAAGGCGACGAUCUAUAGCGGGUCUGAGAGGAUGAUCCGCCACACUGGCACUGAGACACGGGCCAGACUCCUACGGGAGCAGCAGUGAGGAAUAUUGCGACAAGUGGAACGAAAGUCUGACGC